UACGGAGGGUGCGAGCGUUGUCCGGAAUCACUGGGCGUAAAGGGCGCGUAGGCGGCUUGGGAAGUCUGUGGUGAAAGCUCGUGGCUCAACUGCGAGUCGGCCAUAGAUACUCCUAAGCUCGAGUCGACUAGAGGCAGAUGGGAUUCCGGGUGUAGCGGUGGAAUGCGUAGAGAUCCGGAAGAACACCGGUGGCGAAGGCGGUCUGCUGGGGUCGAACUGACGCUGAGGCGCGACAGCGUGGGGAGCAAACAGG
rnacentral:rRNA from 1 species